GUUCAGAUUAAAACCCGUGGAAGUACGAGCGAUAACGGAGCUCGGAAACGUCCCGUGUGGAACGGGGUGUCUAUUAGAGCGUGCACAGUGCCGCGAACGAAAAGCGUGGCUGCCAACCCAAUCAGUUUCCAAACACCGUUCCCCGGGCACACUAACAGGUUCUAACCUGUUUCCGCUGUUCUCUUCCGGCCCACAAGCUCGCUCAUCUGAUCCAAUCCAAAUAUACCCAACGUGGUGUGCACGAAACAACUUCCUCGUCGCCACUUUUCUGUCGCCGCUGACUGCACACCUUGGCCGCUGCAUAAGCGCAGUGGCUGAACGCUGCGCUGGACUUGCACAGAGCGCAUGGAUGGUUUUUCGAGCUAGCCAAAUUCCACUUGUUUGAACUUUGCUAUCUGACGCUACGUGCAUGUUCUUCCCUCGGUUUCGACGCAAGAACGGGACGACUGACGGUCUCGUUCGACACUGGCGCGCUGAGCUGCGCACACUGAACAGCUUUCCGCGUGCGACCAAGUUCUCGAGCUUUUUUUUAGAGAAGUUUUUCCCGUCUCCUCGUUCACCAAAACUUCUGAAAGGUGUGCUUGAACGGAUCGAGCCAAAGCUUCGCCGCAUAUCCCGUUUCGCUCUUCUUUCGAC
rnacentral:lncRNA from 1 species